rnacentral:misc_RNA from 1 species
UUGACAUUUCUAUAUACGAAUAGUAUACGCAUAUCUAUCGCAUACAGACCAUAGGCCCCCGUUCCGUCAGGUUCGAUUGAUAAGCCAGAAUCUGCGUACACGGUGGAUACAUAGUACAGGAGUACACGCGUGAAGAUCAAGGUUACAGAUGAGAACAUGACGAAAAUUUGGGACGCGCUGGAUCGCGCUAAUGGCGAGGCGCGGAAAUACACGGCUCUCCCCGGCGAUAUCUUCGCCCUCGCGAGCAGGGCGGAAGAGUCGCUCAUCGCGAGCGGCCUGCCCGCCCGCAACCGCUCAGGCUGCGAGGUAGUGUGGCACGCGGGUGGCCCGUCGACGAACGCCUACAGCUACAAGAUGCUGCGCACGCGCAUCACCCUGACGCGCGGCUUCGAAAGCUGGUUCUUGACUGGCCUGGAGCGCAUCGGCGUGUACCCCCGCCA